rnacentral:lncRNA from 1 species
CGACUUGCCGACCUGGUACAAACAAAGCACAACUUAUUACAGAUUCAGUGAUCAUGGCGGUUCGUGAAGAUUGAUCUGGGGAUUUCGGUUGAUGUCCCUCAGACCAGGGUCUCUCUUGAACUCACCAUCUCUCCUCUCCCAAAAAUCACUGAAUCGGAGGUGAGCUUCCCAUCAGCGAAUUUGUUUAUCUCAGUCCUGUAGGGCAGACGGGCUUUCCUGUUCCGG